rnacentral:rRNA from 1 species
GGGUUGUGAGGUUAAGCGACUAAGCGUACACGGUGGAUGCCUAGGCAAUCAGAGGCGAUGAAGGACGUGCUAAUCUGCGAUAAGCGUCGGUAAGGUGAUAUGAACCGUUACAACCGACGAUUUCCGAAUGGGGAAACCCAGUGCAAUUCGUUGCACUAUCGUUUGAUGAAUACAUAGUCAAACGAAGCGAACCGGGGGAACUGAAACAUCUCAGUACCCCGAGGAAAAGAAAUCAACCGAGAUUCCCCUAGUAGCGGCGAGCGAACGGGGAGCAGCCCAGAGUCUUAAUCAGCAUUAGCAUCAGGAGAACGGUCUGGAAAGUCCGGCAGUAAAGGGUGAUAGCCCCGUAUCCGAAGGUGUUAGUGUUGUGAACUCGACGAGUAGGGCGGGACACGUGUUAUCCUGUCUGAAUAUGGGGGGACCAUCCUCCAAGGCUAAAUACUCCUGAUUGACCGAUAGUGAACCAGUACCGUGAGGGAAAGGCGAAAAGAAC